CCGGAUGGGGGGGAUAGGAGCCGAGACGUCCCCAAAAGGCGUCGGCCAUCCAUCCACCGUCCCCAGCUUCCAGGGGAAGGCAGUGGACGGAGGGACAAAAACAGGGGCCGAGGAAGGCGACUGGACAUCCAUCGGCGCAUUAGCCCAGUCCUCCAUUUGGUCCAGGUGGAUGACGACUCGGAAGGUGACCCCCCGCAGCCACUCCGGGGCCGGCUCCUGCGAGACGCGGAGGACAGAGGAGAGCCCACCGGCGUUGCGGUUGGUUAGCGUGAGCCACACAAUCCUGGGGAUGGCGCUUGGGUUGCGGCCGGGUCCAGGCCCACAGCCCCACCAUGGAGGUGUCCUCCAUCGUCGUGGCGUUGGAGGGCGCAGCGGCGGCCGAUCACCCGCUCAAUGAUCUCCGGGUGCCACGCGGGGCGAGCACCUCGGCGCAGCGGGAGGAUUCCUCGAACUUCACGAGGAAUGGUUCGGGGAAGUGACGGCUUACAUUGAGCUCGGACGGGCUAAGGCGGAAGAAGCGGCGGAACGCAGCAUCCACCUCCACGCGCGAAGUACUGGGAGGGGCGCCGACGAGCCAGACCACCAGCGCGAUUCUCUCCCAGUUCAGACGAUCCAACUCAAGGUUGAAGGACGUGGCGACGAUGCAGGUGUCACUCUCCGGUCUUGUGGCCGCGGAGCCAAUCCCCUGAAGCGCCAUCAAUGGCGGGCCGGCGGAGGAACCCCACUGGAAGCGCGACGGUGGAAGAGGGAGCGGGAGUGCGGGACGCCCGAGCCACUUGCAGUUGCAGGAGGCGUUGGCAGCGUUCUAUCAUUUUAACGGACAAGUCAGUAUUUCACGAAAAGAUACACAUAUUUUAGGCAUGAGGCCUCUUAAUUCGAAAGAACUCUUUGACGCCACGGACGACUUCCGACCGCUUCGCCACUUUCCUCAUUUCCCUUUCUUCGCAGACAGAACAUUUCCCAUUUUCCCCCUUCUCCAUCAAACCCCCGACCAGCGAGCUAGACCACCGUUCCCCUUCUCCUCCAACGUGCGUCGGGGGAGUCGCUGACUGCGGCUCCUAUCCCUUUUUUUUUUGCGCUGUGCGGCUCCUAUCCCUGUGGUGGCGAGAGCUGUCGGCGUGGUGGUUCCCUUCGGCCGAGCGAGAUUCUCAGGGCGGCGCGAAAUUCCCAAAUCCUCCCCUUCCUCCAGUCCAGUGUGCAUCGAGGGAGUCGACGGCUGCAUCGUCUAUCCGUGAGGCGGCGGGAGACGUCGGCAUGGUGGUUGCCCGCGGACGGGCGAGAUUCUCACAACGGCUCGACCUGUGAAACCCUCCCCUUCCUCCAACGUGUCGUCGGGGGUAGGUCCGGCCGACUGCACCACCAAAUACCAGCAGCGGUGCAAGAUGUCGAUGUGGUGCCUCCCUGUGGCUGAAUGGAUUCGUGCAGCGGCGAGGCUCCGCCGGGGAGCCACUCCAUGGUAGCACGAAACCACAUGUUCGUCUCCCUUCAACUGCUCUAUGCUUUCCCUUAGCAUAUUCCGUGGAUGUCGCCAUAUCAUGGCUGAAGCCUGAACAAGAGAUCAAGGGAGAUAACUUUGACUGGACUCAUAAGUAUGCUUGUUUAAAUAACAGGAGGUCUUAUCCCCCUGUUUCUUCUCUUAUCUAGAGUAACUGAAGCUGAGCCAUUUGUUGAAACACGAGAGAAGACAUGCAAAUUAGCAGGAACGUGGAUCCUAGAGAAGAUGAAGCAGAAGUUGCAGAAUUUAUCCAGACAAAUUAAGUGCUGAGUGUUGGAUUAUCGCAGUCAUCUUGCCCCUUACAGAAUCAUGCAUACGGACCGAAUUGAUAAAAUCCACAAGUGAAGAUAAUGCUUGAAGGGCGAGAUUGACUUUGGCUGCGGAGACUCAUGUGUCAGGGGGCGACCACACAGGAGUGUGCGGUUUGUGUUCGUUCUGCAGGUUUGUCAUUGUUGUAAUAGUCAAUAGGUGGGCUCACUUACUUCUCUGGCCGUGUUUCCGUCAGAUGUCACUGAUCGAUCUCCAAAUAUAAUCUUUCUAAUGAAGAGAAUUUAAUAAAAUUAGUUCAUUUUAGACGAGUUUUGAUAUUUUCGA